rnacentral:rRNA from 1 species
GUGGGGAAUCUUGCGCAAUGGGCGAAAGCCUGACGCAGCCAUGCCGCGUGGAUGAUGAAGGUCUUAGGAUUGUAAAAUCCUUUCACCGGUGAAGAUAAUGACUGUAGCCGGAGAAGAAGCCCCGGCUAACUUCGUGCCAGCAGCCGCGGUAAUACGAAGGGGGCUAGCGUUGCUCGGAUUUACUGGGCGUAAAGGGCGCGUAGGCGGACAUUUAAGUCAGGGGUGAAAUCCCGGGGCUCAACCUCGGAACUGCCUUGGAUACUGGGUGUCUUGAGUAUGAGAGAGGUGUGUGGAACUCCGAGUGUAGAGGUGAAAUUCGUAGAUAUUCGGAAGAACACCAGUGGCGAAGGCGACACACUGGCUCAUUACUGACGCUGAGGCGCGAAAGCGUGGGGAGCAAACAGGAUUAGAAACCCUUGUAGUCC